UUAGGGCCCGAGCGUAGCUGCUAAGCAGCUGCGAGAGCCCUAUUAUUCCUGAUGGAUUCUUCUUUCUUCUUCUUUAGGGCCCGAGCGUAGCUGCUAAGCAGCUGCGAGAGCCCUCUUGUUCCUGAUGGAUUCUUCUUUUGUUAUUAUUAUUAUUAUUUUUCCUCCGCUUUAAACUGGAAAAUGGCCCACUUCCCACUGGCGAAAACUCAUGAAAUUUGGCAGGACGACCGGGCCUGGUGAAAAAUUCGAUAUUCUGAAGUCACCCAAACAAUAAAAUGCAAAAUGGCUCCAUAGCGCCCCCUAAGGUGAAAAUUCACACUAUUGACUGUCACGCCUGUACGCUUUGUCAUAUUGACACAAAAAUUGACACACACAUGUAUCUCAAUAAGAUCUACAAAAAAGUCAGUGCGGGCGUAUCUGUCAAAUGUACGGUUAAAGGGUUAUUUCGCAUUUUUUGCCGAUCCGCACACAUUGGAAUUUCGCUAACUCCUCCGAAGGCUUUCGUUCCACCGGCACCACAUUUGCUCAGGCCAAUCUACACUCCAUGGCCAUUCAAAGUUGUACAAAUCAUGAUGCUGCACCCCAUGGUUUAGGUUCUAGGGGGCGCCAAAAAUAACCCAAAAAUCCACAUUCUUAAAAGUUUUAUAACUUUUUAUUUUUGUCCCCACUGGCCUCCAAGUUUUCUAGGAUGAUGCAAUGUCCAGCCAUCAACACAUUUGUGAAGGAAUUUUUACUCCCCAAAAGAGCGCACCCCCAUGGCAGGACAAAAAAGUCAAUUUUUUCUUGUCCCCUAAGGUGAAAAUACACAUUGUUGAGAUUCACGCCUGUACGCUUUGUCAUAUUGACAAAAAAUUUGACACACACGUGUAUCUCAAUAAGAUCUACGAAAAAGUCAAUGCGCGCGUAUCUGUAAAAUGUACGGCUAAACGGCUAUUUUGCAUUUUUUGCCGAUUCGCACACAUUGGAAUGUGGCUAACUCCUCCUAAGGCUUUCGUCCCACUGACACCAAAUUUGCUCAGGCCAAUCUACACCCCAUGGCCAUUCAAAGUUGUAAAAAUCAUGCCGCUGCACCCCAUGGUUUACGUUCUAGGGGGCACCAAAGAUGACCCAAAUAUCCACAUUCUUAAAAGUCGUUUUGGCCACUGCAGGAGUACAGAGUACUGCAGGAUACACACACACAGACACACACACACACAGACACACACACACACGCGCACACACACACACACACACACACACACACACACACACACACACACACACUCAGAGUCUGUUUUUCAGCACCUGCAAAAACAUGCUAUUUACAUAUUUGACAACAAUGCAGAGACUUCCUUUUGCCCCUGAAAAAAAUGAAAUUUCAAACACAACUUGACUGCUCAUUUCUCCAAAAGACAACCAUGAAGCUCCAUCCAAACCUGAAGCAGGCAGUUGGUGCAUGUGUACAGUAACCUGAGGGGAGUGAGGUGACUGCUUCUGAGGAGAACAUGAGCAGUGAAGAUUCACCUUGGAGCUAGAACAGGGACGUGCACAUGAUUAUACAGGGGCAGGGGCUCAAGUUUUUUCCAGUCGUUUAGACAAUAUGGAAAUUAAUGUGAAAUUAAAAAACAAAGUAUUAAUAGAAAGGUAAUGACUGUCCUGUGUAGGUGACAGUGAUAUCCAAUAGGCUAGGCACUCACGAGGCUGGCUGUGGCAAGUGCAAGUGAAAGCCACACGCACUGGCAGGAAGAACAGCAAACGCCGAUGAAGGAAAAGGGUCUUUGCAGUGAUGGGCGUUACCAGAGAGGACGAUGGCCAGAGGACGCGAAUGGGACGGGGAGGCAGCGCGGUGGGGGGGGGGGGGGGGCGCGACACAGCUCGGGCCCGCCAGUGCCCCAACAGGGCCCUAGUCUUAUUAUUUUUCUGCCCCUUUGAACUGGAAAAUGGCCCACUUCCCACUGGUGAAAAGUCAUGAAAUUUGGCAGGACGACCGGGCCUGGUGAAAAAUUCGAUAUUCUGAAGUCGCCCAAAAAAUCAAAUGCAAAAUGGCUCCAUAGCGCCCCCUAAGGUGAAAAAUUCACAUGAUUGAGUGUCACGCCUGUACGCUUUGUCAAAAUGACACAAAAUUUGACACACACGUGUAUCUCAAUAAGAUCUACAAAAAAGUCAGUGCGGGCGUAUCUGUCAAAUGUACGGUUAAAGGGCUAUUUCGCAUUUUUUGCCGAUCCGCACACAUUGGAAUUUCGCUAACUCCUCCGAAGGCUUUCGUUCCACCGGCACCAAAUUUGCUCAGGCCAAUCUACACCCCAUGGCCAUUAAAAGUUGUACAAAUCAUGACGCUGCAUCCCACGGUUUACGUUCUAGGGGGCGCCAAAGAUAACCCAGAAAUCCACAUUCUUAAAAGUCGUAUAACUUUUUAUUUUUGUCCUCACUGGCCUCCAAGUUUUCUAGGAUGAUGCAAUGUCCAGCCAUCAACACAUUUGUGAAGGAAUUUUUACUCGCCAAAAGAGCGCCCCCCCAUGGCAGGAGAAAAAAGUCCAUUUUUUCUUGUCUCCUAAGGCGAAAAUUCACACUAUUGACUGUCACGCCUUUACGCUUUGUCAUAUUGACACAAAAAUUGACACACACAUGUAUCUCAAUAAGAUCUACAAAAAAGUCAGUGCGGGCGUAUCUGUCAAAUGUACGGUUAAAGGGCUAUUUCGCAUUUUUUGCCGAUCCGCACACAUUGGAAUUUCGCUAACUCCUCCGAAGGCUUUCGUUCCAAAGGCACCACAUUUGCUCAGGCCAAUCUACACCCCAUGGCCAUUAAAAGUUGUACAAAUCAUGACGCUGCACCCCACGGUUUACGUUCUAGGGGGCGCCAAAGAUAACCCAAAAAUCCACAGUCUUAAAAGUCUUAUAACUUUUUAUUUUUGUCCUCACUGGCCUCCAAGUUCUCUAGGAUGAUGCAAUGUCCAGCCAUCAACACAUUUGUGAAGGAAUUUUUACUCGCCAAAAGAGCGCCCCCCCCCAUGGCAGGAGAAAAAAGUCAAUUUUUUCUUGUCUCCUAAGGCGAAAAUACACAUUGUUGACUGUCACGCCUUUACGCUUUGUCAAAAUGACACAAAAUUUGACACACACAUGUAUCUCAAUAAGAUCCAAGAAAAAGUCAAUGCGAGCGUAUCUGUUCAAUGUACGGUUAAAGGGCUAUUUCGCAUUUUUUGCUGAUUCGCACACAUUGGAAUGUGGCUAACUCCUCCUAAAUCUUUUGUCCCAUCGGCUUCAAAUUUGCUCAGGUCAAUCUACACCCCAUGGCCAUUCAAAGUUGUACAAAUCAUGACGCUGCACCCCACAGUUUACGUUCUAGGGGGCGCCAAAGAGCACCCAAAUAUCCACAUUUUUAAAAGUCUUAUAACUUUUUAUUUUUGUCCUCACUGGCCUCCAAGUUUUCUAGGAUGAUGCAAUGUCCAGCCAUCAACACAUUUGUGAAGGAAUUUUUUCUCCCCAAAAGAGCGCCCCCCCAUGGCAGGAGAAAAAGUCAAGUUUUUCCUGCCCAUCGCUCAAUGGCUCAAACGCAUCGCUCUCUCGGCAACACCGUAAGGAGGAGCAACUUGCCAUUUGGAUAUAUCCUAGCUGUGUUUGUGCCCUCACUCAUGGUCCAGACUUUUUUCAAAUAGGACAUGUAGUUUGUCUGCAGCGACCGUUUUGGUAGAAACUGCGCCUCCCAUUCAUUAUAAUGGGAAAUGACCACAGACAAGUGCGCACACCAUCUUUGGACCUUGAGUGUGACGCGAUCGGGGGGGGGGGGGUAGGCGGUCGCCCUGGGGGCGGCGCGACCCGGCUCGGGCCCGACAGUGCCCCACCGGGGCCCUAGUUAGGGCCCGAGCGUAGCUGCUAAGCAGCUGCGAGAGCCCUCUUGUUCCUGUAGUUUCCUUCUUUUGUUAUUAUUAGGGCCCGAGCCAGCUGCAGAGCAGCCGGGCGUAGGCCCUAUUAUUCCCCAAGAGGUUUUUCUUUGUUUCUUUCUUUCUUUCUUUCUUUCUUCUUUUUCCUCCCCUUUGAACUGGAAAAUGGCCCACUUCCCACUGGCGAAAACUCAUGAAAUUUGGCAGGACGACCGGGCCAGGUGAAAAAUUCGAUAUUCUGAAGUCGCCCAAACAAUAAAAUGCAAAAUGGCUCCAUAGCGCCCCCUAAGGUGGAAAUUCACACUAUUGACUGUCACGCCUGUACGCUUUGUCAUAUUGACACAAAAAUUGACACACAUAUGUAUCUCAAUAAGAUCUACAAAAAAGUCAGUGCGGCCGUAUCUGUCAAAAUUACGGUUAAAGGGUUAUUUCGCAUUUUUUGCCGAUCCGCACAUAUUGGAAUUUCGCUAACUCCUCCGAAGGCUUUCGUUCCACCGGCACCACAUUUGCUCAGGCCAAUCUACACCCCGUGGCCAUUAAAAGUUAUCAAAAUCAUGACGCUGCACCCCAAGGUUUAGGUUCUAGGGGGCGCCAAAGAUAACACUAAAAUCCACAUAUUUAAAAGUCUUAUAACUUUUUAUUUUUGUCCUCACUGGCCUCCAAGUUUUCUAGGAUGAUGCAAUGUCCAGCCAUCAACACAUUUGUGAAGGAAUUUUUACUCCCCAAAAGAGCGCCCCCCCAUGGCAGGAGAAAAAAGUCCAUUUUUUCUUGUCCCCUAAGGUGAAAAUACACAUUGUUGAGUGUCACGCCUAUACGCUUUGUCAAAAUGACACAAAAAUUGACACACACAUGUAACUCAAUAAGAUCUACAAAAAAGUCCAUGCGCGCGUAUCUGUCAAAUGUACAGUUAAAGGGUUAUUCCGCAUUUUUUGCCGAUACGCACACAUUGGAAUUUCGCUAACUCCUCCGAAGGCUUUCGUUCCACCGGCACCAAAUUUGCUCAGGCCAAUCUACACCCCAUGGCCAUUAAAAGUUGUACAAAUCAUGACGCUGCAUCCCACGGUUUACGUUCUAGGGGGCGCCAAAAAUAACCCAAAAAUCCACAUUCUUAAAUGUUUUAUAACUUUUUAUUUUUGUCCUCACUGGCCUCCAAGUUUUCUAGGAUGAUGCAAUGUCCAGCCAUCAACACAUUUGUGAAGGAAUUUUUACUCCCCAAAAGAGCGCCCCCCCAUGGCAGGAGAAAAAAGUCAAUUUUUUCUUGUCCCCUUACAUAAAAAUACACAUUGUUGAGUGUCACGCCUGAACGCUUUGUCAUAUUGACACAAAAAUUGACAAUCAUGUGUAUCUCAAUUAGAUCUACGAAAAAGUCAAAGAGCGCGUAUCUGUAUAAUGUACGGUUAAAGGGCUAUUUUGCAUUUUUUGCCGAUUCGCACACAUUGGAAUGUGGCUAUCUCCUCCUAAGGCUUUCGUCCCACCGAUACCAAAUUUGCUCAGGGCAAUCUACACCCCAUGCCCAUUCAAAGUUGUAAAAAUCAUGACGCUGCACCCCACGGUUUACGUUCUAGGGGGCGCCAAAAAUGACCCAAAAAUCCACAUUCUUAAAAGUCAUUUUGGCCACUGCAGGAGUACAGAGUACUGCAGUUCUAGGGGGCGCCAAAGAUGACCCAAAAAUCCACAUUCUUAAAAGUCUUUUUGGCCACUGCAGGAGUACAGAGUACUGCAGGAUACACACACAUAUACACACACGCCAACAUACACACACACACACACACACACACACACACACACAGACACACACACACACUCAGAGUCUGUUUUUUAGCACCUGCAAAAACAUGCUGUUUACAUAUUUGACAAGAAUGCAGAGGCUUCCUUUUGCCCCUGAAAAAAAUCAAAUUUCAAACACAACUUGACUGUUCAUUUCUCCAAAAGACAACCAUGAAGCUCCAUUUCAAACCUGAAGCAGAUAGUUGGUGCAUGUGUACAGUAACCUGAGGGGAGUGAGGUGACUAUUUCUGAGGAGAACAUGAGCAGUGAAGAUUCACCUUGGAGCUAGAACAGGGACGUGCACAUGAUUAUACAGGGGCAGGGGCUCAAGUUUUUUCCAGUCAUUUAUACAAUAUGGAAAUUAAUGUGAAAUUAAACCACAAAUAUGUGUGAUGAACUGUUUUUAAAACUUAAACUUCAAAUAAAAAUUGUAAACUUCAAAACAUAUGCAAAUUUUUAACAAAGAACAUAGUAAUUUACCUCUAUUUACAUCAAAAUGCAGGCAAUGGCCCAGGCAUUCUUUGUAAAAUUAUUUACAAAACACUGUAUAGUCUCACAAAUGUCACUUUUUAUUUAUGCCACUACAAAAAAACAUGAUGUAAAUGAUGCAUGAUGUAAAACAUGAUGUAAAAAACUUGUGUAGAUCCUCCUCUAUGUCAGUCCAUGUGUAAUUUUUCCAUAAUUCUUUGUUUUUUGCAGCAUUUUUGUUAGUGUAACUGCAGAUUGUGCUGACAGUGUCUAUGGCACAAAAAAAAAAAAAAUUUAAAAUGCCUCAACAUGAACCCCUGGUGGUCUCUGAGGGUGAAACCUGCUAACUGCUGCAGCUCUGUCAGCUUCAGUCUCCCAUGCAGAGCUCUGAGCGCAUGUGUGGCUCUGCACCCUUAGCAGCGUUGCUAACUCCUCAGUAAGGAAAGCCUGCUUCAUGUCAGAGUCUCUAAACUCCAGAAGAAGUCGAUAAAAGUCCCUUUCUUUCUAAAAAAAAGUCGUUAGGGGGUCUGAAAAGUCAUUGAAUCUAACAACAAAGUCGCUAGGUUUGCAACUACGUGUCCCAGACUGCAUCCCUGCUGAGAGUCCCUCCCUCCCUUCUCAUGUUGCAGGAAGAACGUAAGCGCCCGCCCCUUGUCAAUCAGUCACCAUAUAAUUUUGGAUUGGUUGUUGUGGUGAAGUUUUCCACCAAUAGGAGAGAUGUUGUGGUGUGUUUUUUUUUCUUUUGGCAAGCCUUUUCCGCCUGUAAGACCUGUCGCUAAUGUCUGCAUGCUAUGUUUUCCUGUCUCAUACAGCGCGAUCGAGCGCCGAACGUGAUCAAAAUAAGCAGAAAAAAAGUAUCGCGGACAUAAUUUAUCAUAACUCUGGUUUUAUUUGGCCUAUCAACACAAUUUAAAAACUGGUAUAUAGGUUGCGGUCCUCACUUUUAAGAUAAGUUGAAACGGAGAGUCAACGAGGCUCCGUCUUGCAGCUACAUCCGGUUAAAUAUGUCAUGUGACUUGAACGCACACACAGACACACACACACGCACACACACACACACACACACACACACACUCAGAGUCUGGUUUUUAGCACCUGCAAAAACAUGCUAUUUACAUAUUUGACAAGAAUGCAGAGGCUCCUUUUGCCCCUGAAAAAAAUCAUAUUUCAAACACAACUUGACUGGUCAUUUCUCCAAAAGACAACCAUGAAGCUCCAUCCAAACCUGAAGCAGGCAGUUGGUGCAUGUGUACAGUAACCUGAGGGGAGUGAGGUGACUGCUUCUGAGGAGAACAUGAGCAGUGAAGAUUCACCUUAGAGCUAGAACAGAGACGUGCACAUGAUUAUACAGGGGCAGGGGCUCAAGUUUUUUCCAGUUGUUUAUACAAUAUGGAAAUUAAUGUGAAAUUAAAAAACAAAGUAUUAAUAGAAAGGUAAUGACUGUCCUGUGUAGGUGACAGUGAUAUCCAAUAGGCUAGGCACUCACGAGGCUGGCUGUGGCAAGUGUAAGUGAAAGCAACACGCACUGGCAGGAAGAACAGCAAACGCCGAUGAAGGAAAAGGGUCUUUGCAGUGAUGGGCGUUACCAGAGAGGGCGAUGGCCAGAGGACACAAAUGGGACGGGAAGGCAGCACGUUGGGGGGGGGGGGGGGGGGACGCGACACGGCUCGGGCCCGCCAGUGCCCCAACGGGGUCCUAGUUUGUUAUUAUUAUUAUUUUUCCUCCGCUUUAAACUGGAAAAUGGCCGACUUCCCACUGGCGAAAACUCAUGAAAUUUGGCAGGACGACCGGGCCUGGUGAAAAAUUCGAUAUUCUGAAGUCGCCCAAACAAUAAAAUGCAAAAUGGCUCCAUAGCGCCCCCUAAGGCGAAAAUUCACACUAUUGACUGUCACGCCUGUACGCUUUGUCAUAUUGACACAAAAAUUGACACACACGUGUAUCUCAAUACGUUCUACGAAAAAGUCAGCGCGGGCGCAUCUGUGAAAUGUACAGUUAGAGGGUUAUUUCGCAUUUUUUGCCGAUCUGCACACAUUGGAAUUUCGCUAACUCCUCCGAAGGCAUUCGUUCCACCGGCACCACAUUUGCUCAGGCCAAUCUACACCCCAUGGCCAUUAAAAGUUGUACAAAUCAUGACGCUGCACCCCACAGUUUACGUUCUAGGGGGCGCCAAAGAUAACCCAAAAAUCCACAGUCUUAAAAGUCUUAUAACUUUUUAUUUUUGUCCUCACUGGCCUCCAAGUUCUCUAGGAUGAUGCAAUGUCCAGCCAUCAACACAUUUGUGAAGGAAUUUUUACUCCCCAAAAGAGCGCCCCCACAUGGCAGGAGAAAAAGUCCAUUUUUUCUUGUCCCCUAAGGUGAAAAUACACAUUGUUGAGUGUCACGCCUAUACGCUUUGUCAUAUUGACCCAAAAUUUGACAAUCACGUGUAUCUCAAUAAGAUCUACGAAAAAGUCAAUGGGCACGUAUCUGUAACAUGUAUGGUUAAAGGGCUAUUUCGCAUUUUUUGCAGAUUCGCACACAUUGGAAUGUGGCUAACUCCUCCUAAGGCUUUCUUCCCACCGACACCAAAUUUGCUCAAGCCGAUCUACAUCCCAUGGCCAUUCAAAGUUGUAAAAAUCAUGCCGCUGCACCCCAUGGUUUACGUUCUAGGGGGCGCCAAAGAUGACCCAAAUAUCCACAUUCUUAAAAGUCGUUUUGGCCACUGCAGGAGUACAGAGUACUGCAGGAUACACACACACAGACACACACAAACACAGACACACACACACACACACACACACACACACACACACACACACACACACACACACACACACACACUCAGAGUCUGUUUUUUAGCACCUGCAAAAACAUGCUAUUUACAUAUUUGACAACAAUGCAGAGGCUCCUUUUGCCCCUGAAAAAAAUCAAAUUUCAAACACAACUUGACUGGUCAUUUCUCCAAAAGACAACCAUGAAGCUCCAUCCAAACCUGAAGCAGGCAGUUGGUGCAUGUGUACAGUUACCUGAGGGGAGUGAGGUGAGUGCUUCUGAGGAGAACAUGAGCAGUGAAGAUUCACCUUGGAGCGAGAACAGGGACGUGCACAUGAUUAUACAGGGGCAGGGGCUCAAGUUUUUUCCAGUCGUUUAUACAAUAUGGAAAUUAAUGUGAAAUUAAAAAACAAAGUAUUAAUAGAAAGGUAAUGACUGUCCUGUGUAGGUGACAGUGAUAUCCAAUAGGCUAGGCACUCACGAGGCUGGCUGUGGCAAGUGUAAGUGAAAGCAACACGCACUGGCAGGAAGAACAGCAAACGCCGAUGAAGGAAAAGGGUCUUUGCAGUGAUGGGCGUUACCAGAGAGGACGAUGGCCAGAGGACGCGAAUGGGACGGGGAGGCAGCGCAUUGGUGGGGGGGGGGGGGGCGCGACACAGCUCGGGCCCGCCAGUGCCCCAACGGGGCCCUAGUGUUAUUAUUAUUAUUAUUAUUUUUCCUCCGCUUUAAACUGGAAAAUGGCCCACUUCCCACUGGCGAAAACUCAUGAAAUUUGGCAGGACGACCGGGCCUGGUGAAAAAUUCGAUAUUCUGAAGUCGCCCAAACAAUAAAAUGCAAAAUGGCUCCAUAGCGCCCCCUAAGGUGGAAAUUCACACUGUUGACUGUCACGCCUGUACGCUUUGUCAUAUUGACACAAAAAUUGACACACACAUGUAUCUCAAUAAGAUCUGCAAAAAAGUCAGUGCGGGCGUAUCUGUCAAAUGUACGGUUAAAGGGUUAUUUCGCAUUUUUUGCCGAUCCGCACACAUUGAAAUUUCGCUAACUCCUCCGAAGGCUUUCGUUCCACCGGCACCACAUUUGCUCAGGCCAAUCUACACCCCAUGGCCAUCGAAAGUUGUACAAAUCAUGACGCUGCACCCCACGGUUUAGGUUCUAGGGGGCGCCAAAGAUUACCAAAAAAUCCACAUUCUUAAAAGUCUUAUAACUUUUUAUUUUUUUCCUCACUGGCCUCCAAAUUCUCUAGGAUGAUGCAAUGUUCAGCCAUCAACACAUUUGUGAAGGAAUUUUUACUCCCCAAAAGAGCGCCCCCACAUGGCAGGAGAAAAAAGGCAAUUUUUUCUUGUCCCCUAAGGUGAAAAUACACAUUGUUGACUGUCACGCCUGUACGCUUUGUCAUAUUGACACAAAAAUUGACACACACAUGUAUCUCAAUAAGAUCUACGAAAAAGUCAAUGGGCACGUAUCCGUAAAAUGUACGGUUAAAGGGCUAUUUUGCAUUUUUUGCUGAUUCGCACACAUUGGAAUGUGGCUAACUCGUCCUACAGCUUUCGUCCCACUGACACCAAAUUUGCUCAGGCCAAUCUACACCCCAUGGCCAUUCAAAGUUGUAAAAAUCAUGACGCUGCACCCCACGGUUUACGUUCUAGGGGGCGCCAAAGAUGACCCAAAUAUCCACAUUCUUAAAAGAAUCCACAUCCCCCCCCCCCCCCCAUCCCCCAUCCCCCAUGGCAGGAGAAACAGUCAAGUUUUUCCUGCCCAUCACUCAAUGGCUCAAUCGCAUCGCUCUCCCGGCAACACCGUAACGAGGAGCAACUUGCCGUUUGGAUAUAUCCUAGCUGUGUUUGUGCCCUCACUCAUGGUCCAGACUUUUUUCAAAUAGGACAUGUAGUUUGUCUGCAGCGAGUGUUUUGGUAGAAACUGCGCCUCCCAUUCAUUUUAAUGGAAAAUGACCACAGACAAGUGCGCACACCAUCGUUGGACCUUGAGUGUGACGCGAUCGGGAGGGGGAGGCGGUCGCGCUGGGGGCGGCGCAACGCGGCUCGGGCCCGACAGUGCCCCACCGGGGCCCUAGUCUUUCGUUAUUUUUCCUCCGCUUUAAACUGGAAAAUGGCCCACUUCCCACUGGCGAAAACUCAGGAAAUUUGGCAGGACGACCGGGCCUGGUGAAAAAUUUGAUAUUCUGAAGUCGCCCAAACAAAAAAAUGAAAAAUGGCUCCAUAGCGCCCCCUAUGGUGAAAACUCACCUGACGCCUGUACGCUUUGUCAAAAUGACACAAAAUUUGACACACAUGUGUAUCUCAAUAAGAUCUACAAAAAAGUCAGUGCGGGCGUAUCUGUCAAAUGUACGGUUAAAGGGCUAUUUGCAUUUUUUGCCGAUCCGCACACAUUGGAAUUUCGCUAACUCCUCCGAAGGCUUUCGUUCCACCGGCACCAAAUUUGCUCAGGCCAAUCUACACCCCAUGGCCAUUCAAAGUUGUACAAAUCAUGACGUUGCACCCCACGGUUUAUGUUCUAGGGGGCGCCAAAGAUAACCCAAAAAUCCACAUUCUUAAAAGUCUUAUAACUUUUUAUUUUUGUCCUCACUGGCCUCCAAGUUUUCUAGGAUGAUGCUAUGUCCAGCCAUCAACACAUGUGUGAAGGAAUUUUUACUCCCCAAAAGAGCGCCCCCCCAUGGCAGGAGAAAAAAGUCCAUUUUUUCUUGUCCCCUAAGGUGAAAAUACACAUUGUUGAGUGUCACGCCUGAACUCUUUGUCAUAUUGACACAAAAAUUGACAAUCAUGUGUAUCUCAAUUAGAUCUACGAAAAAGUCAAAGAGCGCGUAUCUGUAUAAUGUACGGUAAAAGGGCUAUUUUGCAUUUUUUGCCGAUCCGCACACAUUGGAAUUUCGCUAACUCCUCCGAAGGCUUUCGUUCCACCGGCACCAAAUUUGCUCAGGCCAAUCUACACCCCAUGGCCAUUACAAGUUGUAAAAAUCAUGACGCUGCACCCCAUGGUUUAGGUUCUAGGGGGCGCCAAAGAUAACCCUAAAAUCCAAAUAUUUAAAAGUCUUAUAACUUUUUAUUUUUGUCCUCACUGGCCUCCAAGUUUUCUAGGAUGAUGCAAUGUCCAGCCAUCAACACAUUUGUGAAGGAAUUUUUACUCCCCAAAAGAGCGCCCCCCCAUGGCAGGAGAAAAAAGUCAAUUUUUUCUUGUCCCCUAAGGUGAAAAUACACAUUGUUGAGUGUCACGCCUGAACUCUUUGUCAUAUUGACACAAAAAUUAACAAUCAUGUGUAUCUCAAUUAGAUCUACGAAAAAGUCAAAGAGCGCGUAUCUGUAUAAUGUACGGUAAAAGGGCUAUUUUGCAUUUUUUGCCGAUUCGCACACAUUGGAAUUUCGCUAACUCCUCCGAAGGCUUUCGUCCCACUGACACCAUAGUUGCUCAGGCCAAUCUACAACCCAUGGCCAUUCAAAGUUGUACAAAUCAUGACGCUGCACCCCACGGUUUAGGUUCUAGGGGGCGCCAAAGAUAACCCAAAAAUCCACAGUCUUAAAAGUCUUAUAACUUUUUAUUUUUGUCCUCACUGGCCUCCAAGUUUUCUAGGAUGAUGCAAUGUCCAGCCAUCAACACAUUUGUGAAGGAAUUUUUACUCCCCAAAAGAGCGCCCCCCCAUGGCAGGAGAAAAAGUCAAGUUUUUCCUGCCCAUCGCUCAAUGGCUCAAACGCAUCGCUCUCUCGGCAAAACCGAAAGGAGGAGCAACUUGCCAUUUGGAUAUAUACUAGCUGUGUUUGUGCCCUCACUCAUGGUCCAGACUUUUUUCAAAAAGGACAUGGAGUUUGUCUGCAGCGAGCGUUUUGGUAGAAACUGCGCCUCCCAUUCAUUAUAAUGGUAAAUGACCACAGACAAGUGCGCACACCAUCUUUGGACCUUGAGUGUGACGCGAUCGGGAGGGGUAGGCGGUCGCACUGGGGGCGGCGCGACACGGCUCGGGCCCGCCAGUGCCCCACCGGGGCCCUAGUUCUUUCUCUCUUUCUUCUUUUUCCUCCCCUUUGAACUGGAAAAUGGCCCACUUCCCACUGGCGAAAACUCAUGAAAUUUGGCAGGACGACCGGGCCUGGUGAAAAAUUCGAUAUUCUGAAGUCGCCCAAACAAUAAAAUGCAAAAUGGCUCCAUAGCGCCCCCUAAGGUGGAAAUUCACACUAUUGACUGUCACGCCUGUACGCUUUGUCAUAUUGACACAAAAAUUGACACACAUAUGUAUCUCAAUAAGAUCUACAAAAAAGUCAGUGCGGCCGUAUCUGUCAAAAUUACGGUUAAAGGGUUAUUUCGCAUUUUUUGCCGAUCCGCACACAUUGGAAUUUCGCUAACUCCUCCGAAGGCUUUCGUUCCACCGGCACCACAUUUGCUCAGGCCAAUCUACACCCCAUGGCCAUUAAAAGUUAUUCAAAUCAUGACGCUGCACCCCACGGUUUAGGUUCUAGGGGGCGCCAAAUAUAACACUAAAAUCCACAUAUUUAAAAGUCUUAUAACUUUUUAUUUUUGUCCUCACUGGCCUCCAAGUUUUCUAGGAUGAUGCAAUGUCCAGCCAUCAACACAUUUGUGAAGGAAUUUUUACUCCCCAAAAGAGCGCCCCCCCAUGGCAGGAGAAAAAAGUCAAUUUUUUCUUGUCCCCUAAGGUGAAAAUACACAUUGUUGAGUGUCACGCCUAUACGCUUUGUCAAAAUGACACAAAAAUUGACACACACAUGUAACUCAAUAAGAUCUACGAAAAAGUCAAUGCGCGCGUAUCUGUCAAAUGUACGGUUAAAGGGUUAUUCCGCAUUUUUUGCCGAUCCGCACACAUUGGAAUGUGGCUAACUCCUCCGAAGGCUUUAGUUCCACCGGCACCACAUUUGCUCAGGCCAAUCUACACCCCAUGGCCAUUAAAAGUUAUUCAAAUCAUGACGCUGCACCCCACGGUUUACGUUCUAGGGGGCGCCAAAGAUAACCCUAAAAUCCACAUAUUUAAAAGUCUUAUAACUUUUUAUUUUUGCCCUCACUGGCCUCCAAGUUUUCUAGGAUGAUGCAAUGUCCAGCCAUCAACACAUUUGUGAAGGAAUUUUUACUCCCCAAAAGAGCGCCCCCCCAUGGCAGGAGAAAAAAGUCCAUUUUUUCUUGUCCCCUAAGGUGAAAAUACACAUUGUAGAGUGUCACGCCUGUACGCUUUGUCAAAAUGACACAAAAUUUGACAUACACGUGUAUUUCAAUAAGAUCUUCGAAAAAGUCAAUAGCCACGUAUAUGUAAAAUGUACAGUUAAAGGGUUAUUUCACAUUUUUUGCAGAUCCGCACACAUUGGAAUUUGGCUAACUCCUCCUAAGGCUUUCGUCCCACUGACACCAAAUUUGCUCAGGCCAAUCUACACCCCAUGGCCAUUCAAAGUUGUAAAAAUCAUGACGCUGCACCCCACGGUUUACGUUCUAGGGGGCGCCAAAGAUGACCCAAAAAUCCACAUUCUUAAAAGAAUCCACACCCCCCCCCAUCCCCCAUCCCCCAUGGCAGGAGAAACAGUCAAGUUUUUCCUUCCCAUCACUCAAUGGCUCAAUCGCAUCACUCUCCCGGCAACACCGUAACGAGGAGCAACUUGCCGUUUGGAUAUAUCCUAGCUGUGUUUGUGCCCUCACUCAUGGUCCAGACUUUUUUCAAAUAGGACAUGUAGUUUGUCUGCAGCGAGUGUUUUGGUAGAAACUGCGCCUCCCAUUCAUUAUAAUGGGAAAUGACCACAGACAAGUGCGCACACCAUCUUUGGACCUUGAGUGUGACGCGAUCGGGAGGGGGAGGCGGUCGCGCUGGGGGCGGCGCAACGCGGCUCGGGCCCGACAGUGCCCCACCGGGGUCCUAGUUAUUAGGGCCCGAGCCAGCUGCAGAGCAGCCGGGCGUAGGCCCUAUUAUUCCCCAAGUGGUUUUUCUUUGUUUCUUUCUUUCUUUUUAGGGCCCGAGCCAGCUGCAGAGCAGCCGGGCGUAGGCCCUAUUAUUCCCCAAGUGGUUUUUUAGGGCCCGAGCGUAGCUGCUAAGCAGCUGCGAGAGCCCUAUUAUUCCUGAUGGAUUCUUCUUUCUUCUUCUUCUUAUUAUUUUUCUGCCCCUUUGAACUGGAAAAUGGCCCACUUCCCACUGGUGAAAACUCAUGAAAUUUGGCAGGACGACCGGGCCUGGUGAAAAAUUCGAUAUUCUGAAGUCAUCCAAACAAUCAAAUGCAAAAUGGCUCCAUAGCGCCCCCUAAGGUGAAAAAUUCACAUGAUUGAGUGUCACGCCUGAACGCUUUGUCAAAAUGACACAAAAUUUGACACACACGUGUAUCUCAAUAAGAUCUACAAAAAAGUCAGUGCGGGCAUAUCUGUCAAAUGUACGGUUAAAGGGCUAUUUCGCAUUUUUUGCCGAUCCACACACAUUGGAAUUUCGCUAACUCCUCCGAAGGCUUUCGUUCCAAAGGCACCACAUUUGCUCAGGCCAAUCUACACCCCAUGGCCAUUAAAAGUUGUACAAAUCAUGACGCUGCACCCCACGGUUUACGUUCUAGGGGGCGCCAAAGAUAACCCAAAAAUCCACAGUCUUAAAAGUCUUAUAACUUUUUAUUUUUGUCCUCACUGGCCUCCAAGUUCUCUAGGAUGAUGCAAUGUCCAGCCAUCAACACAUUUGUGAAGGAAUUUUUACUCGCCAAAGAGCGCCCCCCCAUGGCAGGAGAAAAAAGUCCAUUUUUUCUUGUCUCCUAAGGCGAAAAUUCACACUAUUGAGUGUCACGCCUAUACGCUUUGUCAUAUUGACCCAAAAUUUGACACACACAUGUAUCUCAAUAAGAUCUACAAAAAAGUCAGUGCGGGCGUAUCUGUCAAAUGUACGGUUAAAGGGCUAUUUUGCAUUUUUUGCCGAUCCGCACACAUUGGAAUUUUGCUAACUCCUCCGAAGGCUUUCGUUCCAAAGGCACCACAUUUGCUCAGGCCAAUCUACACCCCAUGGCCAUUAAAAGUUGUACAAAUCAUGACGCUGCACCCCACGGUUUACGUUCUAGGGGGCGCCAAAGAUAACCCAAAAAUCCACAUUUUUAAAAGUCUUAUAACUUUUUAUUUUUGUCCUCACUGGCCUCCAAGUUUUCUAGGAUGAUGCAAUGUCCAGCCAUCAACACAUUUGUGAAGGAAUUUUUUCUCCCCAAAAGAGCGCCCCCCCAUGGCAGGAGAAAAAGUCAAGUUUUCCUGCCCAUCGCUCAAUGGCUCAAACGCAUCGCUCUCUCGGCAAAACCGAAAGGAGGAGCAACUUGCCAUUUGGAUAUAUACUAGCUGUGUUUGUGCCCUCACUCAUGGUCCAGACUUUUUUCAAAAAGGACAUGGAGUUUGUCUGCAGCGAGCGUUUUGGUAGAAACUGCGCCUCCCAUUCAUUAUAAUGGUAAAUGACCACAGACAAGUGCGCACACCAUCUUUGGACCUUGAGUGUGACGCGAUCGGGAGGGGUAGGCGGUCGCGCUGGGGGCGGCACGACACGGCUCGGGCCCGCCAGUGCCCCAACGGGGCCCUAGUUAUUUUUCCUCCCCUUUGAACUGGAAAAUGGCCCACUUCCCACUGGCGAAAACUCAUGAAAUUUGGCAGGACGACCGGGCCUGGUGAAAAAUUUGAUAUUCCGAAGUCGCCCAAACAAGAAAAUGCAAAAUGGCUCCAUAGCGCCCCCUAAGGUGAAAAUUCACACUAUUGACUGUCACGCGUGUACGCUUUGUCAAAAUGACACAAAAAUUGACACACACAUGUAUCUCAAUAAGAUCUACAAAAAAGUCAGUGCGGGCGUAUCUGUCAAAUGUACGGUUAAAGGGUUAUUUCGCAUUUUUUGCCGAUCCGCACACAUUGGAAUUUCGCUAACUCCUCCGAAGGCUUUCGUUCCACCGGCACCACAUUUGCUCAGGCCAAUCUACACCACAUGGCCAUUAAAAGUUAUUCAAAUCAUGACGCUGCACCCCACGGUUUAGGUUCUAGGGGGCGCCAAAGAUAACCCUAAGAUCCACAUAUUUAAAAGUCUUAUAACUUUUUAUUUUUGCCCUCACUGGCCUCCAAGUUUUCUAGGAUGAUGCAAUGUCCAGCCAUCAACACAUUUGUGAAGGAAUUUUUACUCCCCAAAAGAGCGCCCCCCCAUGGCAGGAGAAAAAAGUCCAUUUUUUCUUGUCCCCUAAGGUGAAAAUACACAUUGUUGAGUGUAACACCUGUACGCUUUGGCAAAAUGACACAAAAAUUGACACACACAUGUAUCUCAAUAAGAUCUACGAAAAAGUCAAUGCGCGCGUAUCUGUCAAAUGUACGGUUAAAGGGUUAUUCCGCAUUUUUUGCCGAUCCGCACACAUUGGAAUUUCGCUAACUCCUCCGAAGGCUUUCGUUCCACCGGCACCACAUUUGCUCAGGCCAAUCUACACCCCAUGGCCAUUAAAAGUUAUUCAAAUCAUGACGCUGCACCCAACGGUUUAGGUUCUAGGGGGAGCCAAAGAUAACCGUAAAAUCCACAGUCUUAAAAGUCUUAUAACUUUUUAUUUUUGUCCCCACUGGCCUCCAAGUUUUCUAGGAUGAUGCAAUGUCCAGCCAUCACCACAUUUGUGAAGGAAUUUUUACUCGGCAAAAGAGCGCCCCCCCCCAUGGCAGGAGAAAAAAGUCAAUUUUUUCUUGUCCACUAAGGUGAAAAUACACAUUGUUGAGUGCUACGCCUGUAUGUUUUGUCGUAUUGACACAAAAUUUUACAUACACGUGUAUUUCAAUAAGAUCUUCGAAAAAGUCAAUGGCCACGUAUCUUUAAAAUGUACGGUUAAAGGGUUAUUUCGCAUUUUUUGCAGAUUCGCACACAUUGGAAUUUCGCUAAUUCCUCCGAAGGCUUUCGUUCCACCGGCACCACAUUUGCUCAGGCCAAUCUACACCCCAUGGCCAUUAAAAGUUAUUCAAAUCAUGACGCUGCACCCCGCGGUUUAGGUUCUAGGGGGCGCCAAAUAUAACCCUAAAAUCCACAUAUUUAAAAGUCUUAUAACUUUUUAUUUUUGUCCUCACUGGCCUCCAUGUUUUCUAGGAUGAUGCAAUGUCCAGCCAUCAACACAUUUGUGAAGGAGUUUUUUCUCUUUAAAAGAGCGCCCCCCCAUGGCAGGAGAAUAAAGUCAAGUUUUUCCUGUUCAUCAUUCAAUGGCUCAAACGCACUGCUCUCUCGGCAAAAGCGAAAGGAGGAGCAACUUGCCAUUUGGAUAUAUCUUAACUGUGUUUGUGCCCUCACUCAUGGUCCAGACUUUUUUCAAAUAGGACAUGGAGUUUUUCUGCAGCGAGCGUUUUGGUAGAAACUGCGCCUUCCGUUCAUUAUAAUGGUAAAUGACCACAAACAAGUGCGCACACCAUCUUUGGACCUUGAGUGUGACGCGAUCGGGUGGGGGAGGCGGUCGCGCUGGGGGCGGCGUGACACGGCUCGGGCCCGCCAGUGCCCCAACGGGGCCCUAGUCUUUGUUUCUUUCUUUCUUUUUUCUUUUUCCUCCCCUUUGAACUGGAAAAUGGCCCACUUCCCACUGGCGAAAACUCAUGAAAUUUGGCAGGACGACCGGGCCUGGUGAAAAAUUCGAUAUUCUGAAGUCGCCAAAACAAUAAAAUGCAAAAUGGCUCCAUAGCGCCCCCUAAUGUGGAAAUUCACACUAUUGACUGUCACGCCUGUACGCUUUGUCAUAUUGACACAAAAAUUGACACACACAUGUAUCUCAAUAAGAUCUACAAAAAAGUCAGUGCGGCCGUAUCUGUCAAAAUUACGGUUAAAGGGUUAUUUCGCAUUUUUUGCCGAUCCGCACACAUUGGAAUUUCGCUAACUCCUCCGAAGGCUUUCGUUCCACCGGCACCACAUUUGCUCAGGCCAAUCUACACCCCGUGGCCAUUAAAAGUUAUCAAAAUCAUGACGCUGCACCCCAAGGUUUAGGUUCUAGGGGGCGCCAAAGAUAACACUAAAAUCCACAUAUUUAAAAGUCUUAUAACUUUUUAUUUUUGUCCUCACUGGCCUCCAAGUUUUCUAGGAUGAUGCAAUGUCCAGCCAUCAACACAUUUGUGAAGGAAUUUUUACUCCCCAAAAGAGCGCCCCCCCAUGGCAGGAGAAAAAAGUCCAUUUUUUCUUGUCCCCUAAGGUGAAAAUACACAUUGUUGAGUGUCACGCCUAUACGCUUUGUCAAAAUGACACAAAAAUUGACACACACAUGUAACUCAAUAAGAUCUACAAAAAAGUCCAUGCGCGCGUAUCUGUCAAAUGUACAGUUAAAGGGUUAUUCCGCAUUUUUUGCCGAUUCGCACACAUUGGAAUGUGGCUAUCUCCUCCUAAGGCUUUCGUCCCACCGAUACCAAAUUUGCUCAGGGCAAUCUACACCCCAUGCCCAUUCAAAGUUGUAAAAAUCAUGACGCUGCACCCCACGGUUUACGUUCUAGGGGGCGCCAAAGAUGACCCAAAAAUCCACAUUCUUAAAAGUCAUUUUGGCCACUGCAGGAGUACAGAGUACUGCAGUUCUAGGGGGCGCCAAAGAUGACCCAAAAAUCCACAUUCUUAAAGUCUUUUUGGCCACUGCAGGAGUACAGAGUACUGCAGGAUACACACACAUAUACACACACGCCAACAUACACACACACACACACACACACACACACACACACACACACACACACACACAGACACACACACACACUCAGAGUCUGUUUUUUAGCACCUGCAAAAACAUGCUGUUUACAUAUUUGACAAGAAUGCAGAGGCUUCCUUUUGCCCCUGAAAAAAAUCAAAUUUCAAACACAACUUGACUGUUCAUUUCUCCAAAAGACAACCAUGAAGCUCCAUUUCAAACCUGAAGCAGAUAGUUGGUGCAUGUGUACAGUAACCUGAGGGGAGUGAGGUGACUAUUUCUGAGGAGAACAUGAGCAGUGAAGAUUCACCUUGGAGCUAGAACAGGGACGUGCACAUGAUUAUACAGGGGCAGGGGCUCAAGUUUUUUCCAGUCAUUUAUACAAUAUGGAAAUUAAUGUGAAAUUAAACCACAAAUAUGUGUGAUGAACUGUUUUUAAAACUUAAACUUCAAAUAAAAAUUGUAAACUUCAAAACAUAUGCAAAUUUUUAACAAAGAACAUAGUAAUUUACCUCUAUUUACAUCAAAAUGCAGGCAAUGGCCCAGGCGUUCUUUGUAAAAUUAUUUACAAAACACUGUAUAGUCUCACAAAUGUCACUUUUUAUUUAUGCCACUACAAAAAAACAUGAUGUAAAUGAUGCAUGAUGUAAAACAUGAUGUAAAAAACUUGUGUAGAUCCUCCUCUAUGUCAGUCCAUGUGUAAUUUUUCCAUAAUUCUUUGUUUUUUGCAGCAUUUUUGUUAGUGUAACUGCAGAUUGUGCUGACAGUGUCUAUGGCACAAAAAAAAAUAAAAUUAAAAUGCCUCAACAUGAACCCCUGGUGGUCUCUGAGGGUGAAACCUGCUAACUGCUGCAGCUCUGUCAGCUUCAGUCUCCCAUGCAGAGCUCUGAGCACAUGUGUGGCUCUGCACCCUUAGCAGCGUUGCUAACUCCUCAGUAAGGAAAGCCUGCUUCAUGUCAGAGUCUCUAAACUCCAGAAGAAGUCGAUAAAAGUCCCUUUCUUUCUAAAAAAAAGUCGUUAGGGUGUCUGAAAAGUCAUUGAAUCUAACAACAAAGUCGCUAGGUUUGCAACUACGUGUCCCAGACUGCAUCCCUGCUGAGAGUCCCUCCCUCCCUUCUCAUGUUGCAGGAAGAACGUAAGCGCCCGCCCCUUGUCAAUCAGUCACCAUAUAAUUUUGGAUUGGUUGUUGUGGUGAAGUUUUCCACCAAUAGGAGAGAUGUUGUGGUGUGUUUUUUUUUUCUUUUGGCAAGCCUUUUCCGCCUGUAAGACCUGUCGCUAAUGUCUGCAUGCUAUGUUUUCCUGUCUCAUACAGCGCGAUCGAGCGCCGAACGUGAUCAAAAUAAGCAGAAAAAAAGUAUCGCGGACAUAAUUUAUCAUAACUCUGGUUUUAUUUGGCCUAUCAACACAAUUUAAAAACUGGUAUAUAGGUUGAGGUCCUCACUUUUGAGAUAAGUUGAAACGGAGAGUCAACGAGGCUCCGUCUUGCAGCUACAUCCGGUUAAAUAUGUCAUGUGACUUGAACGCACACAUAGACACACACACACGCACACACACACACACACACACACACACACACACACACACACACACACACACACACACACUCAGAGUCUGGUUUUUAGCACCUGCAAAAACAUGCUAUUUACAUAUUUGACAAGAAUGCAGAGGCUCCUUUUGCCCCUGAAAAAAAUCAAAUUUCAAACACAACUUGACUGGUCAUUUCUCCAAAAGACAACCAUGAAGCUCCAUCCAAACCUGAAGCAGGCAGUUGGUGCAUGUGUACAGUAACCUGAGGGGAGUGAGGUGAGUGCUUCUGAGGAGAACAUGAGCAGUGAAGAUUCACCUUGGAGCUAGAACAGAGACAUGCACAUGAUUAUACAGGGGCAGGGGCUCAAGUUUUUUCCAGUCGUUUAUACAAUAUGGAAAUUAAUGUGAAAUUAAAACACAAAGUAUUAAUAGAAAGGUAAUGACUGUCCUGUGUAGGUGACAGUGAUAUCCAAUAGGCUAGGCACUCACGAGGCUGGCUGUGGCAAGUGUAAGUGAAAGCAACACGCACUGGCAGGAAGAACAGCAAACGCCGAUGAAGGAAAAGGGUCUUUGCAGUGAUGGGCGUUAACAGAGAGGGCGAUGGCCAGAGGACACAAAUGGGACGGGGAGGCAGCACGUUGGGGGGGGGGGGGGGGGGGGGGACGCGACACGGCUCGGGCCCGCCAGUGCCCCAACGGGGUCCUAGUUUCUUUUUCCUCCCCUUUGAACUGGAAAAUGGCCCACUUCCCACUGGCGAAAACUCAUGAAAUUUGGCAGGACGACCGGGCCUGGUGAAAAAUUUGAUAUUCUGAAGUCGCCAAAACAAUAAAAUGCAAAAUGGCUCCAUAGCGCCCCCUAAGAUGAAAAUUCACACUAUUCACUGUCACGACUGUACGCUUUGUCAAAAUGACACAAAAAUUGACACACACAUGUAUCUCAAUAAGAUCUACAAAAAAGUCAGUGCGGCCGUAUCUGUCAAAAUUACGGUUAAAGGGUUAUUUCGCAUUUUUUGCCGAUCUGCACACAUUGAAAUUUCGCUAACUCCUCCGAAGGCUUUCGUUCCACCGGCACCACAUUUGCUCAGGCCAAUCUACACCCCGUGGCCAUUAAAAGUUAUCAAAAUCAUGACGCUGCACCCCAAGGUUUAGGUUCUAGGGGGCGCCAAAGAUAACACUAAAAUCCACAUAUUUAAAAGUCUUAUAACUUUUUAUUUUUGUCCUCACUGGCCUCCAAGUUUUCUAGGAUGAUGCAAUGUCCAGCCAUCAACACAUUUGUGAAGGAAUUUUUACUCCCCAAAAGAGCGCCCCCCAUGGCAGGAGAAAAAAGUCCAUUUUUUCUUGUCCCCUAAGGUGAAAAUACACAUUGUUGAGUGUCACGCCUAUACGCUUUGUCAAAAUGACACAAAAAUUGACACACACAUGUAACUCAAUAAGAUCUACGAAAAAGUCAAUGCGCGCGUAUCUGUCAAAUGUACGGUUAAAGGGUUAUUCCGCAUUUUUUGCCGAUCCGCACACAUUGGAAUGUGGCUAACUCCUCCUAAGGCUUUCGUUCCACCGGCACCACAUUUGCUCAGGCCAAUCUACACCCCAUGGCCAUUAAAAGUUAUCAAAAUCAUGACGCUGCACCCCACGGUUUAGGUUCUAGGGGGCGCCAAAGAUAACCCUAAAAUCCACAUAUUUAAAAGUCUUAUAACUUUUAAUUUUGUCCUCACUGGCCUCCAAGUUUUCUAGGAUGAUGCAAUGUCCAGCCAUCAACACAUUUGUGAAGGAAUUUUUACUCCCCAAAAGAGCGCCCCCCAUGGCAGGAGAAAAAAGUCCAUUUUUUCUUGUCCCCUAAGGUGAAAAUACAUAUUGUUGAGAUUCACGCCUAUACGCUUUGUCAUAUUGACACAAAAUUUGACAAUCACGUGCCUUGCCUGGUAUCAUUUUUUUCAGCACAACCUCACCUGUGCGAAUUUACAGUUAUUUCAUCAUGUUGACAUACUGAAUUUACACAAUGGACCCAAAUUCACACACAAAACAUAAAAUCCGAGUGGAAAAAAGUAACAUUUUUACUGUGAAAACCACAAAUAUGUGUGAUGAACUGUUUUUAAAACUUAAACUUCAAAUAAAAAUUGUAAACUUCAAAACAUAUGCAAAUUUUUAACAAAGAACAUAGUGAUUUACCUCUAUUUACAUCAAAAUGCAGGCAAUGGCCCAGGCGUUCUUUGUAAAAUUAUUUACAAAACACUGUAUAGUCUCACAAAUGUCACUUUUUAUUUAUGCCACUACAAAAAAACAUGAUGUAAAUGAUGCAUGAUGUAAAACAUGAUGUAAAAAACUUGUGUAGAUCCUCCUGUAUGUCAGUCCAUGUGUAAUUUUUCCAUAAUUCUUUGUUUUUUGCAGCAUUUUUGUUAGUGUAACUGCAGAUUGUGCUGACAGUGUCUAUGGCACAAAAAAAAAAAAAUUAAAAUGCCUCAACAUGAACCCCUGGUGGUCUCUGAGGGUGAAACCUGCUAACUGCUGCAGCUCUGUCAGCUUCAGUCUCCCAUGCAGAGCUCUGAGCGCAUGUGUGGCUCUGCACCCUUAGCAGCGUUGCUAACUCCUCAGUAAGGAAAGCCUGCUUCAUGUCAGAGUCUCUAAACUCCAGAAGAAGUCGAUAAAAGUCCCUUUCUUUCUAAAAAAAAGUCGUUAGGGGGUCUGAAAAGUCAUUGAAUCUAACAACAAAGUCGCUAGGUUUGCAACUACGUGUCCCAGACUGCAUCCCUGCUGAGAGUCCCUCCCUCCCUUCUCAUGUUGCAGGAAGAACGUAAGCGUCCGCCCCUUGUCAAUCAGUCACCAUAUAAUUUUGGAUUGGUUGUUGUGGUGAAGUUUUCCACCAAUAGGAGAGAUGUUGUGGUGUGUUUUUUUUCUUUUGGCAAGCCUUUUCCGCCUGUAAGACCUGUCGCUAAUGUCUGCAUGCUAUGUUUUCCUGUCUCAUACAGCGCGAUCGAGCGCCGAACGUGAUCAAAAUAAGCAGAAAACAAGUAUCGCAGACAUAAUUUAUCAUAACUCUGGUUUUAUUUGGCCUAUCAACACAAUUUAAAAACUGGUAUAUAGGUUGAGGUCCUCACUUUUGAGAUAAGUUGAAACGGAGAGUCAACAAGGCUCCGUCUUGCAGCUACAUCCGGUUAAAUAUGUCAUGUGACUUGAACGCACACACAGACACGCACACACACACACACACACACACACACACACACACACACACACACACACACACACACACACACACACUCAGAGUCUGGUUUUAGCACCUGCAAAAACAUGCUAUUUACAUAUUUGACAAGAAUGCAGAGGCUCCUUUUGCCCCUGAAAAAAAUCAAAUUUCAAACACAACUUGACUGCUCAUUUCUCCAAAAGACAACCAUGAAGCUCCAUCCAAACCUGAAGCAGGCAGUUGGUGCAUGUGUACAGUAACCUGAGGGGAGUCAGGUGAGUGCUUCUGAGGAGAACAUGAGCAGUGAAGAUUCACCUUGGAGCUAGAACAGAGACAUGCACAUGAUUAUACAGGGGCAGGGGCUCAAGUUUUUUCCAGUCGUUUAUACAAUAUGGAAAUUAAUGUGAAAUUAAAACACAAAGUAUUAAUAGAAAGGUAAUGACUGUCCUGUGUAGGUGACAGUGAUAUCCAAUAGGCUAGGCACUCACGAGGCUGGCUGUGGCAAGUGUAAGUGAAAGCAACACGCACUGGCAGGAAGAACAGCAAACGCCGAUGAAGGAAAAGGGUCUUUGCAGUGAUGGGCGUUACCAGAGAGGGCGAUGGCCAGAGGACACAAAUGGGACGGGGAGGCAGCACGUUGGGGGGGGGACGCGACACGGCUCGGGCCCGCCAGUGCCCCAACGGGGUCCUAGUUAUUAUUUUUCCUCCCCUUUGAACUGGAAAAUGGCCCACUUCCCACUGGCGAAAACUCAUGAAAUUUGGCAGGACGACCGGGCCUGGUGAAAAAUUUGAUAUUCCGAAGUCGCCCAAACAAGAAAAUGCAAAAUGGCUCCAUAGCGCCCCCUAAGGUGAAAAUUCACACUAUUGACUGUCACGCCUGUACGCUUUGUCAAAAUGACACAAAAAUUGACACACACAUGUAUCUCAAUAAGAUCUACAAAAAAGUCAGUGCGGGCGUAUCUGUCAAAUGUACGGUUAAAGGGUUAUUUCGCAUUUUUUGCCGAUCCGCACACAUUGGAAUUUCGCUAACUCCUCCGAAGGCUUUCGUUCCACCGGCACCACAUUUGCUCAGGCCAAUCUACACCCCAUGGCCAUUAAAAGUUAUUCAAAUCAUGACGCUGCACCCCACGGUUUAGGUUCUAGGGGGCGCCAAAGAUAACCCUAAGAUCCACAUAUUUAAAAGUCUUAUAACUUUUUAUUUUUGCCCUCACUGGCCUCCAAGUUUUCUAGGAUGAUGCAAUGUCCAGCCAUCAACACAUUUGUGAAGGAAUUUUUACUCCCCAAAAGAGCGCCCCCCCAUGGCAGGAGAAAAAAGUCCAUUUUUUCUUGUCCCCUAAGGUGAAAAUACACAUUGUUGAGUGUAACACCUGUACGCUUUGGCAAAAUGACACAAAAAUUGACACACACAUGUAUCUCAAUAAGAUCUACGAAAAAGUCAAUGCGCGCGUAUCUGUCAAAUGUACGGUUAAAGGGUUAUUCCGCAUUUUUUGCCGAUCCGCACACAUUGGAAUUUCGCUAACUCCUCCGAAGGCUUUCGUUCCACCGGCACCACAUUCGCUCAGGCCAAUCUACACCCCAUGGCCAUUAAAAGUUAUUCAAAUCAUGACGCUGCACCCCACGGUUUAGGUUCUAGGGGGCGCCAAAGAUAACCCUAAAAUCCACAUAUUUAAAAGUCUUAUAACUUUUUAUUUUUGUCCUCACUGGCCUCCAAGUUUUCUAGGAUGAUGCAAUGUCCAGCCAUCAACACAUUUGUGAAGGAAUUUUUACUCCCCAAAAGAGCGCCCCCCCAUGGCAGGAGAAAAAAGUCAAUUUUUUCUUGUCCCCUAAGGUGAAAAUACACAUUGUUGAGUGUCACGCCUAUACGCUUUGUCAUAUUGACCCAAAAUUUGACAAUCACGUGUAUCUCAAUAAGAUCUACGAAAAAGUCAAUGGACACGUAUCUGUAAAAUGUACGGUUAAAGGGUUAUUUCGCAUUUUUUCCCGAUCCGCACACAUUGGAAUUUCGCUAACUCCUCCGAAGGCUUUCGUUCCACCGCCAACAAAUUUGCUCAGGCCAAUCUACACCCCAUGGCCAUUCAAAGUUGUACAAAUCAUGACACUGCACUCCACGGUUUAGGUUCUAGGGGGCGCCAAACAUAACCCAAAAAUCCACAUUCUUAAUAGUCUUAUAACUUUUUAUUUUUGUCCUCACUGGCCUCCAAGUUUUCUAGGAUGAUGCAAUGUCCAGCCAUCAACACAUUUGUAAAGGAAUUUUCACUCUCGAAAAGAGCGCCCCCCCAUGGCAGGAGAAAAAAGUCCAUUUUUUCUUGUCUCCUAAGGUGAAAAAACACAUUGUUGACUGUCACGCCUAUACGCUUUGUCAAAAUGACACAAAAUUUGACACACACGUGUAUCUCAAUAAGAUCUACGAAAAAGUCAAUGUGCACGUAUCUGUAAAAUGUACGGUCAAAGGGCUAUUUCGCAUUUUUUCCCGAUCCGCACACAUUGGAAUUUCGCUAACUCCUCCUAAGGCUUUCAUCCACCGACACCAAAUUUGCUCAAGCCGAUCUACAUCCCAUGGCCAUUCAAAGUUGUAAAAAUCAUGACGCUGCACCCCACGGUUUACGUUCUAGGGGGCGCCAAAGAUGACCCAAAUAUCCACAUUCUUAAAAGAAUCCACCCCCCCCUCCCCCCAAGGCAGGAGGAAAAGUCAAGUUUUUCCUGCCCAUUGCUCAAUGGCUCAAUCGCAUCGCUCUCCCGGAUACACCGUAAGGAGGAGCAACUUGCCAUUUGGAUAUGUCCUAGCUGUGUUUGUGCCCUCACUCAUGGUCCAGACUUUUUUCAAAUAGGACAUGUAGUUUGUCUGCAGCGAGUGUUUUGGUAGAAACUGCGCCUCCCAUUCAUUAUAAUGGUAAAUGACCACAGACAAGUGCGCACACCAUCUUUGGACCUUGAGUGUGACGCGAUCGGGAGGGGGAGGCGGUCGCGCUGGGGGCGGCGCGACACGGCUCGGGCCCGACAGUGCCCCACCGGGGCCCUAGUUAUUAUUUUUCCUCCCCUUUGAACUGGAAAAUGGCCCACUUCCCACUGGCGAAAACUCAUGAAAUUUGGCAGGACGACCGGGCCUGGUGAAAAAUUUGAUAUUCUGAAGUCGCCCAAACAAUAAAAUGCAAAAUGGCUCCAUAGCGCCCCCUAAGGUGAAAAUUCACACUAUUCACUGUCACGCCUGUACGCUUUGUCAAAAUGACACAAAAAUUGACACACACAUGUAUCUCAAUAAGAUCUACAAAAAAGUCAGUGCGGGCGUAUCUGUCAAAUGUACGGUUAAAGGGUUAUUUCGCAUUUUUUGCCGAUCCGCACACAUUGGAAUUUCGCUAACUCCUCCGAAGGCUUUCGUUCCACCGGCACCACAUUUGCUCAGGCCAAUCUACACCCCAUGGCCAUUAAAAGUUAUUCAAAUCAUGACGCUGCACCCCACGGUUUAGGUUCUAGGGGGCGCCAAAGAUAACCCUAAGAUCCACAUAUUUAAAAGUCUUAUAACUUUUUAUUUUUGCCCUCACUGGCCUCCAAGUUUUCUAGGAUGAUGCAAUGUCCAGCCAUCAACACAUUUGUGAAGGAAUUUUUACUCCCCAAAAGAGCGCCCCCCCAUGGCAGGAGAAAAAAGUCCAUUUUUUCUUGUCCCCUAAGGUGAAAAUACACAUUGUUGAGUGUAACACCUGUACGCUUUGGCAAAAUGACACAAAAAUUGACACACACAUGUAUCUCAAUAAGAUCUACGAAAAAGUCAAUGCGCGCGUAUCUGUCAAAUGUACGGUUAAAGGGUUAUUCCGCAUUUUUUGCCGAUCCGCACACAUUGGAAUUUCGCUAACUCCUCCGAAGGCUUUCGUUCCACCGGCACCACAUUUGCUCAGGCCAAUCUACACCCCAUGGCCAUUAAAAGUUAUUCAAAUCAUGACGCUGCACCCCACGGUUUAGGUUCUAGGGGGCGCCAAAGAUAACCCUAAAAUCCACAUAUUUCAAAGUCUUAUAACUUUUUAUUUUUGUCCUCACUGGCCUCCAAGUUUUCUAGGAUGAUGCAAUGUCCAGCCAUCAACACAUUUGUGAAGGAAUUUUUACUCCCCAAAAGAGCGCCCCCCCAUGGCAGGAGAAAAAAGUCAAUUUUUUCUUGUCCCGUAAGGUGAAAAUUCACAUUGUUGAGUGUGACACCUGUACGCUUUGUCAUAUUGACACAAAAUUUGACAAUCACGUGUAUCUCAAUAAGAUCUACGAAAAAGUCAAUGCACGCGUAUCUGUCAAAUGUACGGUUAGAGGGCUAUUUUGCAUUUUUUGCCGAUUUGCACACAUUGGAAAGUGGCUAACUCCUCCUAAGGCUUUCGUCCCACUGAAACCAAAUUUGCUCAGGCCAAUCUACACCCCAUGGCCAUUCAAAGUUGUAAAAAUCAUGACGCUGCACCCCACGGUUUACGUUCUAGGGGGCGCCAAAGAUGACCCAAAAAACCACAUUCUUAAAAGAAUCCACAUUCCCCCCCGCCCAUGGCAGGAGAAAAAGUCAAGUUUUUCCUGCCCAUCGCUCAAUGGCUCAAUCGCAUCCCUCUCCAGGCAACACCGUAAGGAGGAGCAACCUGCCAUUUGGAUAUAUCCUAGCUGUGUUUGUGCCCUCACUCAUGGUCCAGACUUUUUUCAAAUAGGACAUGAAGUUUGUCUGCAGCGAGUGUUUUGGUAGAAACUGCGCCUCCCAUUCAUUAUAAUGGGAAAUGACCACAGACAAGUGCGCACACCAUCUUUGGACCUUGAGUGUGACGCGAUCGGGAGGGGGAGGCGGUCGCGCUGGGGGCGGCGCGACGCGGCUCGGGCCCGACAGUGCCCCACCGGGGUCCUAGUUAGGGCCCGAGCGUAGCUGCUAAGCAGCUGCGAGAGCCCUCUUGUUCCUGCAUGUUUCCUUCUUUUGUUAUUAUUAGGGCCCGAGCGUAGCUGCUAAGCAGCUGCGAGAGCCCUCUUGUUCCUGAUGGAUUCUUCUUUAGGGCCCGAGCGUAGCUGCUAAGCAGCUGCGAGAGCCCUCUUGUUCCUGUAGUUUCCUUCUUUUGUUAUUAUUAUUAUUUUUCCUCCCCUUUGAACUGGAAAAUGGCCCACUUCCCACUGGCGAAAACUCAUGAAAUUUGGCAGGACGACCGGGCCUGGUGAAAAAUUUGAUAUUCUGAAGUCGCCCAAACAAUAAAAUGCAAAAUGGCUCCAUAGCGCCCCCUAAGGUGAAAAUUCACACUAUUCACUGUCACGCCUGUACGCUUUGUCAAAAUGACACAAAAAUUGACACACACAUGUAUCUCAAUAAGAUCUACAAAAAAGUCAGUGCGGGCGUAUCUGUCAAAUGUACGGUUAAAGGGUUAUUUCGCAUUUUUUGCCGAUCCGCACACAUUGGAAUUUCGCUAACUCCUCCGAAGGCUUUCGUUCCACCGGCACCACAUUUGCUCAGGCCAAUCUACACCCCAUGGCCAUUAAAAGUUAUUCAAAUCAUGACGCUGCACCCCACGGUUUAGGUUCUAGGGGGCGCCAAAGAUAACCCUAAGAUCCACAUAUUUAAAAGUCUUAUAACUUUUUAUUUUUGCCCUCACUGGCCUCCAAGUUUUCUAGGAUGAUGCAAUGUCCAGCCAUCAACACAUUUGUGAAGGAAUUUUUACUCCCCAAAAGAGCGCCCCCCCAUGGCAGGAGAAAAAAGUCCAUUUUUUCUUGUCCCCUAAGGUGAAAAUACACAUUGUUGAGUGUAACACCUGUACGCUUUGGCAAAAUGACACAAAAUUUGACACACACGUGUAUCUCAAUAAGAUCUACGAAAAAGUCAACGCGCGCGUAUCUGUCAAAUGUACGGUUAAAGGGUUAUUCCGCAUUUUUUGCCAAUCCGCACACAUUGGAAUUUCGCUAACUCCUCCGAAGGCUUUCGUUCCACCGGCACCACAUUUGCUCAGGCCAAUCUACACCCCAUGGCCAUUAAAAGUUAUUCAAAUCAUGACGCUGCACCCCACGGUUUAGGUUCUAGGGGGAGCCAAAGAUAACCGUAAAAUCCACAUAUUUAAAAGUCUUAUAACUUUUUAUUUUUGUCCCCACUGGCCUCCAAGUUUUCUAGGAUGAUGCAAUGUCCAGCCAUCAACACAUUUGUGAAGGAAUUUUUACUCGGAAAAAGAGCGCCCCCCAUGGCAGGAGAAAAAAGUCAAUUUUUUCUUGUCCACUAAGGUGAAAAUACACAUUGUUGAGUGCUAAGCUUGUAUGUUUUGUCGUAGUGACACAAAAUUUUACAUACACGUGUAUUUCAAUAAGAUCUUCGAAAAAGUCAAUGGCCACGUAUCUGUAAAAUGUACGGUUAAAGGGUUAUUUCGCAUUUUUUGCAGAUUCGCACACAUUGGAAUGUGGCUAAUUCCUCCGAAGGCUUUCGUUCCACCGGCACCACAUUUGCUCAGGCCAAUCUACACCCCAUGGCCAUUAAAAGUUAUUCAAAUCAUGACGCUGCACCCCACGGUUUAGGUUCUAGGGGGCGCCAAAGAUAACCCUAAAAUCCACAUAUUUAAAAGUCUUAUAACUUUUUAUUUUUGUCCUCACUGGCCUCCAAGUUUUCUAGGAUGAUGCAAUGUCCAGCCAUCAACACAUUUGUGAAAGAAUUUUUUCUCCCCAAAAGAGCGCCCCCCAUGGCAGGAGAAAAAGUUAAGUUUUUCCUGCCCUUCGCCCAAUGGCUCAAACGCAUCGCUCUCUCGGCAAAACCGAAAGGAGGAGCAACUUGCCAUUUGGAUAUAUGGAAGCUGUGUUUGUGCCCUCACUCAUGGUCCAGACUUUUUUCAAAAAGGACAUGGAGUUUGUCUGCAGCGAGCAUUUUGGUAGAAACUGCGCCUCCCAUUCAUUAUAAUGGUAAAUGACCACAGACAAGUGCGCACACCAUCUUUGGACCUUGAGUGUGACGCGAUCGGGAGGGGGAGGCGGUCGCGCUGGGGGCGGCGCGACACGGCUCGGGCCCGCCAGUGCCCCACCGGGGCCCUAGUUUGUUAUUAUUAUUAUUAUUUUUCCUCCGCUUUAAACUGGAAAAUGGCCCACUUCCCACUGGCGAAAACUCAUGAAAUUUGGCAGGACGACCGGGCCUGGUGAAAAAUUCGAUAUUCUGAAGUCGCCCAAACAAUAAAAUGCAAAAUGGCUCCAUAGCGCCCCCUAAGGUGGAAAUUCACACUAUUGACUGUCACGUCUGUACGUUUUGUCAUAUUGACACAAAAA